rnacentral:SRP_RNA from 1 species
UUUUGGUCCUCUUGCAGUGAUACUUUGUGAACUCGGUCAGGCCUGGAAGGGAGCAGCCGCAGCAGACGACUCAUGUGCCGAGAUGUGGCUGGAAGCC